GAUGAACGCUGGCGGCGUGCCUAAUACAUGCAAGUCGAGCGAACGGACGAGAAGCUUGCUUCUCUGAUGUUAGCGGCGGACGGGUGAGUAACACGUGGAUAACCUACCUAUAAGACUGGGAUAACUUCGGGAAACCGGAGCUAAUCCCGGAUAAUAUUUUGAACCGCAUGGUUCAAAAGUGAAAGACGGUCUUGCUGUCACUUAUAGAUGGAUCCGCGCUGCAUUAGCUAGUUGGUAAGGUAACGGCUUACCAAGGCAACGAUGCAUAGCCGACCUGAGAGAGGGAUAGGCCACACUGGAACUGAGACACGGACAAGACGCCUAAGGGAGGCAGCAGUAGGGAAUCUGAGGCAAUGGGCGAAAGCAUGACGGAGCAACGCCGCGUGAGUGAUGAAGGUCUUCGGAUCGUAAAACUCUGUUAUUAGGGAAGAACAUAUGUGUAAGUAAAUGUGCACAGCGUGACGGUAACUAAUCAGAAAGCCACGGCUAACUACGUG
rnacentral:rRNA from 1 species